AGUGAACGCUGGCGGUAGGCCUAACACAUGCAAGUCGAACGGCAGCACAGUAAGAGCUUGCUCUUACGGGUGGCGAGUGGCGGACGGGUGAGGAAUACAUCGGAAUCUACUUUUUCGUGGGGGAUAACGUAGGGAAACUUACGCUAAUACCGCAUACGACCUACGGGUGAAAGCAGGGGAUCUUCGGACCUUGCGCGAUUGAAUGAGCCGAUGUCGGAUUAGCUAGUUGGCGGGGUAAAGGCCCACCAAGGCGACGAUCCGUAGCUGGUCUGGGAGGAUGGUCAGCCACCCUGGAACUGGGACACGGUCCAGACUCCUACGGGAGGCAGCAGUGGGGAAUAUUGGACAAUGGGCGCAAGCAUGAUCCAGCCAUACCGCGUGGGUGAAGAAGGCCUUCGGGUUGUAAAGCCCUUUUGUUGGGAAAGAACAGCAGCAGGUUAAUACCCCGCUGUUCUGACGGUACCCAAAGAAUAAGCACCGGCUAACUUCGUG
rnacentral:rRNA from 1 species